rnacentral:rRNA from 1 species
GGGGAAUCUUCCGCAAUGGGCGAAAGCCUGACGGAGCAACGCCGCGUGAGUGAAGACGGCCUUCGGGUUGUAAAGCUCUGUUAUACGGGACGAAUAGUCUUAUGGUUAAUACCCAUGAGAAGUGACGGUACCGUAAGAGAAAGCCACGGCUAACUACGUGCCAGCAGCCGCAGUAAUACGUAGGUGGCAAGCGUUGUCCGGAAUUAUUGGGCGUAAAGGGCGCGCAGGCGGCUUCUUAAGUCUGUCUUAAAAGUUCGGGGCUUAACCCCGUGAUGGGAUGGAAACUGCCAAUCUAGAGUAUCGGAGAGGAAAGUGGAAUUCCUAGUGUAGCGGUGAAAUGCGUAGAUAUUAGGAAGAACACCAGUGGCGAAGGCGACUUUCUGGACGAAAACUGACGCUGAGGCGCGAAAGCCAGGGGAGCGAACGGGAUUAGAUACCCCGGUAGUCCUGGCCGUAAACGAUGGGUACUAGGUGUAGGAGGUAUCGACCCCUUCUGUGCCGGAGUUAACGCAAUAAGUACCCCGCCUGGGGAGUACGACCGCAAGGUUG